UUUUUUGCUUUUUUGCUUUUUUCAAGAUAAGACCAGUUAUCUUAAGUGACUAGAAAAGGUAACCUUAUGGCUUUUCUCUUCAGCUAAGAAUGUUAGGGUAUAUGCAUUUUAUUAUGUUGUUGUAAGGUUGUUUGUAAAGAUUAAGUUAAUAAUGCCUUUGCCUUAUCAGUAAUCUGACCAGAUUAAAGAUGUUCCAUGGUUACUGAUGUUUUAAGUACUAUGAUCCUCUAUAUAACUCCUGUUAUUAAAAGCUGCUAAAAUACUUUUAGAGUUAUAAAACAGGCAUUGGUUUAAAAGGGCCCCAAAACUUACAGUUCAAUUGGCUGAUAAGUGUCUCCUUUGAAGAGAGGACUGCCUUUAACUUUUAAUAGUGCCCAACUGCAGAUAAAAAGUAGAGCAGUAUUUUAAUGUACUGUCAUUAAAAUCUUAGCCUUUAUUCUCAAGAGGAGAGAGAUGAAAGUUUAAAUGUUAAUAUUGUUGUUGCUUAGUCACUAAGUCAUGUCCAACUUUUUUGAGACACCACGGACACUACGCCUGCCAGGCUCCUCUGUCCAUGGAAUUUUUUAGGCAAGAAUACUGGAGUGGGGUUGCAGGAGAAGCUAAUAUACAUGACACGUAACUAACAGAGCCUUGGAAUGGCUGUUUAGUAUCAUAGAUCUAGAAAAUCAAGGGAAUUCUAAAGAGCAGCCUUGGUGUAGAUAAAGACAUCUUUUCACACUUUUGCAAAUUCAUCCCAUAAUUUUUUUUCUUUUAGGCUUACCCAAGGGAGAAUGAUUCCAUGGCUAUAAUAUUAAUAGAUAUUUUUUACUUAUAUCAUGGAAGGAGCAAACAUGACUGAGAUUUUUUUUUCCCAAGUAUUUAGUUGUAUUUUCAUAAUACCAAAAGUAUCUUGGAAAUAAAUACUUAGAAAGCCUAAACUUUUGGGGCACCGAAAGUACCAUGGUAACUUUUCUCUUAGUAUACACAAAUAUAGACCCACAUUGUAUUUUCAUUCUGUGAGCAUCAUCUCCAUAGCUGGAUUGAACGUUUCAUUUCAGUAACAUACACACAAACUGUAAGCCACUCUCUCUCUAAAAGAGAAGUGUCUGAAGACAACUUAUUUAGUGGAACAGCGAGUUAUACUGGAACAGCUGAAAUGGGUCUGGCUAAUACAGUUCCUUUAGCAGAAUGUUAAGUGAAAGCUAACCACCCUUUAGAAGAUCACUUAUUUUGCCUUAAUGGUGUUAAUUAGAUUUGUUUUCAUUAAGUAUUCGACUGUUGAAAAGAAACCAAGUUCAGUUUGCUGUCACUGGAGCCUCUGCAUACUGACCAGAUCACCUGUACCAAUUCUCUUCAGCUCUGCUCCUCUGUUCUUUGACCUGUUUUCUUGCUAAAUGUGUAGCUUCAGGCAGAGCUCUCUUUCCUUCAAGAAACAAUUGACCUUUUUUAGGGAGGGGUUAGAGUGUACCCAUGGUGGAAUGUAUAUGUUCUUUAUUUGGGUUGACAGAUUACAAUGAAAAAUUCAUUUUGCUCCUCAAUUAAGGAGUUUUCAGUAUUGUCAUAAUUACUAGUUAAAUUGCUAGGUUCUAAUCUGGAUAAACACAAGGAAUGUUACUAGCUUUAUUAAAAAAAAUACAAAAUAUAUUUUAACUCAAAUAUACCUAAACUAUAAGACUUAACCUUAUUACAGAUGAAAUAUUUUAAAUAUUAAUAUAUGCCUUUCAGCAAAUAAUUUUGGUAACCACAAAGGACACUCAAAUUGUAAAAACAACAGAGGAAACAAAAAACUGUCUGGCAUGUAAAACCAAUUUUAAUGUGAUUAUUAGCUGCAGGUUUUUUAAAUUAAGGUCGGGGAGCCUCAGAUUUCUUGCUUGUGAAGUAGUGUCUUUUUCUCUUGCCUGAAAAGGAUGUAAACUGAUUCUGCUUCUCUCCAUAAUCUCUUGCAUUCUGGUUGUGAUAACAGACCGAUUGGAGAUUUUCUGCCUCCUUGGAAAAGGCUCAGGUAGGCAGCAAAACAAAAGAUAGGUAGAUAGAUUUAAACAGACUUUAGUAAUUAGCUUAGUGCCAAUAUGAGAGGUGUGUAGUUAGAUAACUGUCCCAUAUGCAGGUGAAAAAGAGAGAGUAUAAUAAAAUUCCCGAUUUUAUUUUCUAUAGCCACAACUAGAGAGAGGAUACUUGUUGGGGGAACUUACAUUUUUUGAAACAACUGUCAUAAUAACAUGUAAGACUUUUAUCAGUGAACUAAGUAUAUAGUGUAUAUAUAUAUAUAAGGGCUUCCAAAGUAGGUGUUUCAGUUUAGAUGUAUCUCAGUUAAAAUAUACUUUGCAUUAAUUUUUUAACAAAUUACAAAUUUAACAAAUAACUUUCCAUGUAUUUAUCCAGAGUAGAAUUUAGUAAUUUAACUCAUACUUUGGCAAACAUGUUAUUGCUGUUACUUUUAGAGUCAAACUACUACUACACAACUUGUAAAGGUCCUCAUAGUCUCAUAAACACAGAGCAUUUUUUGUUUCUCAUCAUUGCGCAUAUAAAGUAUGUGAAAAGUUCUCUUGAUGACCAGCCUUGUCUGUGUUUCUCUUCCUCCCUCCUUCACUCUCUCAACCCUUAAAGAUAUUAAAUUUUAGAAAGGAAUGGGUCGUUUAUUCCAUUCUUCUUGCCAGAUGAGUCACUAGCUAAUCUAAUAAAUUUUCAAUCUGACAGUAACAGAUAAUAAUGUGCUACCAAAUCUUUCUGUCACACACAUCUGUUAUAUGUCAUUACAGACUUCAGUCUUCUUAUACAGGCAUACAACUACAUAAUUUUAACAGUAUUAGUUUGUAUUCUGCCCUUUUCACUUUGCUAUGAAACACAGGCUUAGACUUCUUCCAUGGCAACAAAGAUCCACAUCAUUGUUCUAAACACAUACAAACUCCCAUGUUGUCUCAAUAUAAUUAAGGAGCACCCAACUGACUGUCACUAAGUUUUUCUUUUUUUGCAAUUUUAUUGGGAUGUCUUUUUUUUUUUUUAAUUCAUUCAUCUUUCCAUUUAUAUAUUUCCUUAGCUUCUAUGCCUAGGAAUAGAGCUGCUUGAUUCAAGAAUAUGGAUGUUUUUAGAACCUUUGGUGACUCUAAAAUUGGCCUCCAGAGAAGCUGUAACAAUAUACAAUGUCCCUGGUGGUGUGAGAGAGGACACUUUCUCAUAGUCUCAUAAACAAAAUUUUUUGUUUUUCAUCACUGCUCAUCAAACAGAGAAUCCAGAGAAAAUUUUAAAGACAUUGGAGAAAUAAUAAGAAUGAACAGCACUGCUUUCUACCAGUUGGAAACAUUUUUCAGGUGGUUUAUUUUAUGUUCAGGUAACAGAGUGCCCUUUUAUUUGAAAUUACAAUAGUUCCUGAUUAUAACGAGUGAUAGAUUCAGCAAAAAGUUGGCCAAAAUUAAAUACAACCAAAUGAAAAUACAGUUGCUCCUUGAACAGCAUGACAGACAUACCAAUGCCCCCACAGUUGAAAAUCCACAUAUAACUUUGCAGUCAGCCCUCUGUAUCCACAGUUCUGCCUCCUCAGAUUCAGCCAACUGUGAGCUGUAUAGUACUUUAGUACAUUUUAUUGGAGAAAAGCCACUUAUAAGUGGUUCAAACCUGUGCAGUUCAAAUCAGUGUUUACUUGAGGGCCAACUGGAAUGAACCUCACAGUUACAUAAUUUUUAUUAUUAGAAUACUUAAAAUGUCACUAAGUCAGCCAGAAUUUGAAACAUAUAACUUGAGGUUAUCACUAAUAGCCAAUAUUUAUUUUCCAAGUUAUCUGAGGAUGCCAGAAAUAUGAGUAAUAUACUUUGUAUAGCUCAGAAAAUUGGAAAAUUCUUCUGUAUAUUGAGUAGAAAUGUGCCACUAUGUAACUGUUCACUGACUCUAACUGUACCCUAUGGAAUAUAAUUUUCAUUUUGUUAAUUUAAUUUUCUGUUACUUUCAUCAGUAUUUUCACUGGAAGGAAUGAAACCUAUUUUAGGUUUUUUUCAUUCACUCCAGCCUAAACCCAUAUAUCCCAGAAUUGAUUAUAAAGCCCCUGUUUCAUAAGAAAUUUAAAGAUAACUUUAGGUGUAACUACAUGAAGAAACAGGAUUAUAAAGUAUUUUCUGCUUGGAAUCAGACCAUGGUGAAACACAUUUACCUACAAUUCUACAAUCCAGGUAACUUAAUACACACGUGGACAGUGUUAUCCAAAAGCCCACUUAAGCCAGUAGCCCACAAUAUUAUUUUUUCUCAUACUGAGGAAGAAGAGAAGCCUUGUCUAUAUGCACCUGUGUAGGAAUAUAGGUCUUCUCCCAAAAGGAAGCUAGAAAAAAGCCACACAUCUACAUUAAGACAGAGACCAUAUCUAAUAUAAUUGUAUGUGAUAUAAAAGCAGAAUGAAUACUGGAAAACGCAUUCUAGAAUAUGCUAGUGAAGUAAUACUAAACACUCAUGACUAAACUGGCACUCAUGUUAUCAAAGUCAUCUAGAUCAGAGAGAAAUGGAUUUAGUGAAAACCAAGUCACUUCCAAUGUCAUCUCUAUUUUCAGAUGACAUGAUAUUACAUAUGGAAAACCCUAAAGAUGCCAUCUAAAAACUGUUAAUAAACUAUUUCAGUAAAAUCAUAGGCAACAAAAUCACUAUACAAAAAUUAGUUGUAACUCUGUACACCAACCAACAAACUAUCAAAAAUAGCAAUUAACAAUUCCAUAUACAAGAGCAUCAAAAAGAAUAAAGUGCUAGUUAUAAAUUUAACCAAGAAGAUGAAAGAUCCAUACACUGAAAACUGUAAGACAUUGAUGGAAGAAACUGAAGGAGACACAAAUAAAUGGAAAGAUAUUUUGUAUUCAUUUCAUGCUAAGUUGCUUCAUUUGUGUCUGACUCUUCGUGACCUGUAGCCCACCAGGUUCCUCUGUCCUUGAGAUUCUCCAGGAAGGAACACUGGAAUGGACUGCUGUGCCUUCCUCCAGAGAUCUUCCUAACCCAGGGAUCAAACUAUGUCUCUUACAUCUCCUGACUUUACCACUAGCACCACCUGGGAAGCCCACAUUCAUGAUUGGAAGAAUUUAACACUGUUAAAUUGUCCAUACCACCUAAAGUGAUCUACAGAUCCAAUAUAAAACCUCUCAAAAUUCUAAUGGCAUUUUUCACUGAAAAAGAAAUAGUCUGAAAAUCCCAGAUAGCCAAAGCAAUCUUGGAGGGGAAAAAAAAAGCGGGAGGGAUCACAUUUCUGAGUUCAGCUUAUAUUGCAAAGUGAUAAUAAUCAGAACAGUAUGGCACUGGCAUUAAAAACAUAAUAGAGAGGCCAGAAAUAAACCCAUUGGUUUACUAAUUAGAACAAAAAGUUUUAACAUUAGUAUGAAAACAUGAAAGAUCCCUAAUAAUCAAAGCUAUCUUGAGAAAGGAAAACACAGCUGGAGGAAUCAGGCUCCCUGACUGCAGACUACAAGCUACAGUAAUCAAGAGUAUGGGACUGGCACAAAGACAGAAAUAUAGAUCAAUGGUACAGGAUAGACAGCACAGAGAUAAACCCACACACCUACCCUAACCCUAUGCCUAUGGUGACCUAAUCUAUGACAAAGGAGGCAAGAAUAUACAAAGAAGAAAAGAUAAUCUCUUCAAUAAGCAGUGCUGGGGAAACUGGACAACUACAUUUAAAAGAAUGAAAUUAGAACAUUCCCUAACACCAUACACAAAAAAAACUUCAAGAUGGAUUAAAGACCUAAAUGUAAGACCAGACACUAUAUAAAACUCUUAGAGGAACACACAGGAAAAACACUCUGAGAAAAUCACAGCAAGAUCUUUUUGUGAUGCAUAUCCUAGAGUAAUGAAAAUAAACAAAUGGGACCUAAUUAAACUAAAAAGCUUCUGCACAGCAAAGGAAAACAGAAGAUGAAAAGACAACCCUCAGAAUGAGAGAAAAUAUUUACAAAUGAAGCAACUAACAAAGGAUUAAUCUUCAAAAUAUACAAACAGCUCAUGAAGCUCAAUAUUAAAACAGCCUAAUCAAAAAAAUGGGCAAAAAACCUAAAUAGAUGUUUGCUUAAAAAAAAAAAAAAAAAACAGUACAGAUGGCCAAGAGGCACAUGAAAAGAUGCUCUACAUCACUAAUUGUCAGAGCAAUGCAAAUCAGAACAACAAUGACAUAUCACCAUGCUAUUCAGAAUGGCCAUCAAAAAAUCUACCAGCAAAUGCUGGGGGUGGUGUGGAGAAAAGGGAACCGUCUUGCACUGUUGGUGGGAAUGUAAAUUGAUACAGCCUCUAUGAAGAACAAUAUGGAGGCUCCUUUAAAAGACCUAAUAUAGAACUACCAUAUGACCCAGCCAUCCCACUGCUGGGCAUAUACCCUGAGAAAACCAUAAUUCAAAAACACACAUGUACCACAAUGUUCACUGCAGCACUGUUUACAAUAUCCAGGGGAUGGAAGCAACCUAAAUGUCCAUCAACAGAUAAAGGUAUAAAGAAGACAUGGUACAUGUAUGUAAUGGAAUGUUACUCAGCCAUAAAAAAAGGAAUGAAAUUGGGUCAUUUACAGAGAUGUGGAUGGCUCCAGAGUCUGUUAUACAGAGUGAAGUCAGUCAGAAAGAGAAAAACAAAUAUUGCAUAAUAACACAUAUAUGUGAAAUCCAGAAAAAUGGUACAGAUGAACCUAUCUGCAGGGCAGAAAUAGAGACACAGAUAUAGAGCACAAGCGUGUGGACACAGUGGGGGAAGGAAGGGUGGGGCAGAUUGGGAGGUUAGGAUUUUACACAUGUAUACUGCCAUAUGUAAAACAGGUAGCCAGUGGGAAGCUACUGUAAAUGCAUAGCACAGGGAGCUCAGGCCAGUGCUCUGCAAUGACCUAAAUGGCUGGGAUGGUGGGCGGGGGCUGGCGGCACAGCCCAGCGAGGAGGGACGUAUGUAAUACAGCUGAUUCACUUUGCUGUACAGCAGAAAGACAACAGUGUAAAGCACUUGCACUCCAAUAAAAAAAUAUUUAUUAAAAGAAAUAAAGCCACUGGUUUAUUUUUAUUAAUACAGGUAACUAAUUUUUGACAAAGCCAAGAAUAUACAAUGAGAAAAGGAUAGUCUGUUUAAUAAAUGGUGUUGGGAAACUGGACAGUCACAUGUAAAGGAUGAAACCAGGCUUCUGUCUUAUGCCACACACAAAACUAACUCAAGAUAGACAGACUUGAACAUGAGACCCAAAACCAUAAAACUAGAAGAAAAUGUAGGGAAUAAGCCCCUUGACAUUAGUCUUCAUGUUGAUUUUUUGGAUUUGACAACAAAAGCAAAGGUAACAAAACCAAAAAUAAAAACAAGUGGGACUACAUAAAAUUAAAAAGCUUCUACACAGGAAAUUGUCAACAAAAUAAAAAUGAAACCUAUGGAAUGGGAGAAAAUUCCUGCAAGCCAUACAUCCAAUAAGGGAGUAACAUCAAAAUAUACAAGGAUCUCAUAGAAAUACAAUACCAAAAAACCCCAAAUAAUUCAUUUUUAAAAUAGGCAAAUGUCCUCAAUAGACACUUUUUCCAAAGACCUAUAAGUGGCUAACAAGAAUAUGAAAAGAUGUGCAACAUCAUUAAUCAUCAAGGAGAUGCAAAUCAAAAAUAUAGUAAGGUCACCUCAAAACCUGUUAUAUGAAAAAAACAAGAGUGAUAAUAUGCUGGUGAGGAUGUGGAGAAAAGAAAAUUCUUGUAGACUUUUGGUGAGAAUGUAAACUUGUACAGCCACUAUGGAAAACUGUAUGAAGGUUCCUCAAGAAAUUAAAAACAGAACUACUAUAUGAUCCAGCAAUCCCAGUUCUGGGUAUAUAUCCAAAGGAAACAAAAUUGUUAUCUCAAAGACAUCUGCACUCCCAUUUUCAUAGCAACAUUAUUCACAAUAGCCGGUGUACAGAAACAAAGUGUUCUUCAACUGAUGCACGUGUGCACAAAAUGUGUUUAUACACACACAUACAGUGAAGUAGUAUUCAGUCAAAAGUCAAGAUUCAUAGAAAAAUUGCAGAAAAGUAGCUGCCAGGACUAGGAGAUGGGGGAGAUAAGGAGAGGUUGGUGCAAAGGUAUAAACUUUCAACUAUAAGUUGAAUAAGGUUUGAGGAUUUAACGUAUAACAUGGUGACUAUAGUUGAUAACACGGUACUGUAUAAUUAAAAUUUGCUAAGUAAGAACUUAAAUGUUCUCAACAAAAACUAUUGAAGAGAAAUUCUCAGGAAAAAAAGGAUCAACCAUUUUGUGGCACCAGGAGAUAUGUUCUUGGCAAAGAGGAUAAAAUAUUAAAAUAAUUGUUGAACCACAUAAAAUUGGAAAGUUGACCAGUUGUUUUCUUACAUGUUUAAAUUGCCUUUUUAAGUAGAAGAAGAGUAUGGCCCCAAAAUGAUUAUAGUGAUAUUUACCAUUCAUUUCAUUAUUUAAAACUGAGGAUCUGAAAGACUCAGGUUAUAGUAGCUAUUUGUUUUGUGUGGUAUGGAUAGUCCAGAUUGUGAUAUAUGCAUAGUCCCCGACUUAACAAUGGUUCAGCUUGACUAUUUUUCAGUUUUAUGAUAGUGCAAAAGCAAUAGACCUUCAGUAGAGACUAUACUUCGAAUUUUGACUUUUGGUCUUUUCCCAGGCUGGUGAUAUGCAGUACAGUACUCCCCAUCAUGUUGGCUAGUAGCAUUGACGUGAUUAUGAGUAAACAACUGAUACACUUGCAACCACUUGCAGUACAGUAUUCAAUAAAUUACAUGAGAUAUAAAAUACUUUAUUAUAAAACAGGCUUUGUGUUAGAUGAUUUUGUCCAGUUGUAGGCUCAUGUAAGUGUUCAGAGUAUGUUUAAGGGGAGUGUUAGUGUCUGAUUCUUUGGGACCCCAGGGACUGUAGCCCACCAGGCUCCUCUGUCCACUGAGUUCUCCAGGCAAGAAUACUGGAGUGGGUUGCCAUGCCCCUUUUCCAGGGGAUUUUUCUGACCCAGGGAUCAAACCCGGGUCUCCUACAUUGCAGGCAGUUUCUUUACCAUCUGGCCAAAAGCUUUGGUGUUCAUGUUCAGUAGGUUAGGUAUAGUAAAAACAUUUUCAACGUAUCCUUCACGGAUCACUGUCUUGUUGUGGCAAAGGGGCUUGUGCAACUCAGUGAAGCUAUGAGCCAUGCUGUGUAGGGCCACCCAAGACAGAUGGGUCAUAGCAGAGAGUUCUGACAAAACGUGAUCCACUAAAGCCUUUGACUGUGUGGAUCAUAACAAAUUGUGGAAAAAAGCUCUUAAGAGAUGGGAAUACCAGACCAUCUUACGUGUCUCCUGAGAAACCUGUAUGGGGGUCAAGAAGCAACAGUUAGAACGCUGUAUGGAACAACUGGUGGUUCAGGACUGAGAAAGGAGUACGACAGGGCUGUCUGCCAUCACCCUGUAUGCUGAGCACAUCAUCAGAAAUGCUGGGCUGGAGUAGUUACAAGCUGGAAUCAAGACAGGUGGGAGAAACAUCAACAACCUCAGAUAUAUGGAUGAUACCACUCUAAUGGCAGAAAGUGAAGAGGAACUAAAGAGCCUCUUGAUGAGGGUGAAAUAGGAGAGUGAAAGAGUUGACUUAAAACUAAUAUUAAAAAAAAAAAGAUCAUGGCAUCCGGCCCCAUACUUCAUAGCAAAUAGAAGGGGAAAAGGUGGAAGCAGUGAAAGAUUUCCUCUUCUUGGGCUGUGGACGGUGACUGCAGCCAUGAAAUCAGAAGGUGAUUGCUUCUUGGCAGGAACACAAUGACAAACCCAGACAGUGUUGAAAAGCAGACAUUACUCUGCAGACAAAGAUCUGUAUAGUCAAGGCUGUGGUUUUCCCAGUGGUCAUGUACAGUUGUGAGAGCUGGACCAUAAAGAAGGCAGAACACCAAAGAAUGGAUGCCUUCAAACUGUAGUGCUGGAGAAGGCUCCUGAAAGUCUGUUGGACAGCACAGAGAUCAAACCAGUAAAUCUUAAGGGAAAUCAACCCUGAAUACUUGUCAGAAGGGCUGAUGCUGAAGAUGAAGCUCCAGUAUUUUGGUCAUCUGAUGCGAACAGCCAACUCACUGGAAAAGUCCCUGAUGCUGGGAAAGAUUGAGGGCAGAAGGAGAAGAGGGUGUCAGAGGGAGAUGGCUGGAUGGCAUCACUGAUGCAGUGGACAUGAAACUGGGCAAACUUUGGGAGAUGGUGAGGGAUGGAGAGGCCUAGUGUGCUGCAGUCCACGGGGUCGCAAAGAGUCGGACACUGGGUGACUGAACAACAACAGCCCCAGCAUAAAUCAAGAAGACCUAUACUGUAUUCAGAAUUCUGUCAGUACAAGGAGUUAGCUAACCACGUAUUCUCAAACCAGCGCAUGGAUAAUAACUUCUUUGGGAGGAGUCUUUCUGGAGUUGUAACAAAUACCAACUAUUGACCUCAGAAACCAUCCCUUCAAAGGAACCACAAUUUGAUUUGAUUUCUUUGUGGAGUAAUUUCUGCCCUCAUGCAUUUUGUAGAAAACAGAGCUUCAGCCAGCAAUUAAUGGAGUUUAACAGCUGGUUGUAGUCAGGUAAAGAGAGGAAGAGAGUCCUACAAAUACUACUAGACUAGCAUCCUAAGAUGACUGGGCAUCAUACCACACCUAUCCGAGGAACAACAUCAGAGCCUAAUGCUGUAGGGGCAGAGGGCAAUAGGCUUCACUAAGAUAAUCUAGCCAUCCACUAAAAUUACAUGCAAAUAAAACAAAUCUUAAUUGGGGGAAGGGUGUGGUGAGGGGAAAAUUACUAACCAGAAUUGCUGCAAUAUAUUACCUGAAAGUUCAGUUUUGAACAAAAAUAAUGAGUCUUGAAGACAGGAAAAUAUGACCCACGUAUUAGAACAGAGGCAAGAGAAACUGCCCUGGAAGAGUAACCAGAGGGGACUUCCCUGACUGUCCAGGGGCUGAGACUCUCGAGCUCCCAAGGCAGGGGGCCAGGGUCAAUCCUUGGUCAGGGAACUAUACGUCAGAUCCUACAUGCUGCAGUUAAGAGUUCACAUGUCACAACUAACAGACUAAAGAUCUUGUAUGCUGCAAUUAAGACUUGGCACAGCCAAAUAAAUAAACACUUAAAAAAAAAGGGUGACCAAAGAUAUGAUUUCACAGAAAAAGACCUCAAAAUAACAAUUUUAAAUGUGUGAGAUAGAAAUUAUUUUUAAAAAUAAUAAAAGAACCAAUGGAGAUUCAAGUAUAAUAAUUACAAUUCCAAAAAUUCACUAGAGAUACACUCCACAGUAGAUUUAAACUGACAGGAAAGAAUUAGCAAACUUGAAGAUAGAUCAAUAGAGAAAUUCAAGCUGAGGGACAGAGGGGAAAACAAAAGAACAGUGAACAGAGCCUCAGAGAAAACACCAACAUAUGCAUAAUGGGAGUCAGGAGAGAAAGGAGGGGAAAAAGUCCAAAGAGUGUGUGGGUGAAAACUUUCAAAGUUUACUGAAAAAUGCUAACCUAAAUACAUCAGGAAACUCAGUAAUUCUGAGUAGGAUAAGUUCAAGAAUGUCAACAAAAGAUGCAUCAUAAUAAAAAUGCAAGGAGUCAAAAUAAGGAGAAAAUUUUGAAGGCAGCAAGGAAGAAAUGACUUGUGACUUAGAAGGGAAACCCCUCCCCGUAAGAUUAACAGCCUUCUUCUCAACAUAAACCAUGAAGGCCAGGAUGCAGUGGAAUAACAUAUUCAGAGUACUCAAGAAAAACUUGCCGACCAGCAAAACUAUUUAUCCAAAAAAAAAAAAAAGCAAAAAAACUUUUCAAUAUAAAUAAAAACUGAAGUUCUUCAGUCUGAAAGCAAGUAACCCCAGGUGGUAAUUUGAAUCCACAUGAAAAAGAGCACCAGGAAAGGUAAUUAGGUAAUUUUAAAAGACAGUAUAAAUAUAUGUUUUCUCCUUAACUGAUUUAGAAAGCAGUUGUAAAUAAUAGCUACAUGUUACUCUCAGGCCUAUAACAUAUAGAAAGGUAAUAUUUGUGUAAUAUCUUUACCAACAACAGCACAAAGGAUGUGAGGGGCAGCAAGGCUGUAUGGGCUGAGUAAACCACUACAGAAGGUGAAGUAGUAAUUUUAAAAGUGUUACUGGAUUUCUAACAUGAAUAGAUACAGUUUAUAUAAUGGACAUACUACAGUACAGGGGUAAAGAGAACAAAGCUAUAUAGCAGUAAUGUUUCUAUAUAUCCCUGAAUUAAGGCAGUAUAAAUCUGAAGCUGUCAUAAGUUAAGAUGUAUAUGGUAAACCCUAGAGCAACCUCUUAAAAAAAAAAAACUCAAUAAAGUACAGUAAAAAAAAAAAAAAA